rnacentral:rRNA from 1 species
CUUGGCAAACCCUGCUGUACCGACCAUUGUAGCACGUGUGUAGCCCAGGCCGUAAGGGCCAUGAUGACUUGACGUCAUCCCCACCUUCCUCCGGUUUGUCACCGGCAGUCUCCUUAGAGUGCCCACCAUUACGUGCUGGCUAACUAAGGACAAGGGUUGCGCUCGUGUACGGGACUUAACCCAACAUCUCACGACACGAGCUGACGACUUAAUGCAGCGGCCUGUCGUCAGAGUUCCCGUUUCACCAAUCGAUCUCUGG